rnacentral:rRNA from 1 species
CGGCGAGUGAAGCGGUAAUAGCUCAAAUUUGAAAUCUGGCUCUAGGGUCCGAGUUGUAAUUUGUAGAGGAUGUUUCGGGUGCGCCCGCAGUUUAAGUUCCUUGGAACAGGACGUCAUAGAGGGUGAGAAUCCCGUCUUGAACUGUACGGCAAGUCCAUGUGAAACUCCUUCGACGAGUCGAGUUGUUUGGGAAUGCAGCUCAAAAUGGGAGGUAAAUUUCUUCUAAAGCUAAAUAUUGGCCAGAGACCGAUAGCGCACAAGUAGAGUGAUCGAAAGAUGAAAAGCACUUUGAAAAGAGAGUUAAACAGUAUGUGAAAUUGUUAAAAGGGAAGCGUUUGCAACCAGACUUGUUUCUAACAGUUCUACCGCAGUUCUCUGUGGCUUAUUCUGUUAGUCCAGGCCAGCAUCAGUUUGGGUGGCUCGUUAAAGACUUUGGGAAUGUAUCUACUCCUUCGGGUGUAGACUUAUAGCCCAUUGUGUAAUAGGGUCUACCUGGACUGAGGUACGCGCUCGGAUGCUGGCGUAAUGGUUGUAAACGACCCGUCUUGAAACACGGACCAAGGAGUCUAACAUCUAUGCGAGUGUUAGGGUGUCAAACCCUUACGCGUAAUGAAAGUGAACGGAGGUAGGAACCCGCAAGGGUGCACUAUCGACCGAUCCUGAUGUCUUCGGAUGGAUUUGAGUAAGAGCAUAGCUGUUGGGACCCGAAAGAUGGUGAACUAUGCCUGAAUAGGGUGAAGCCAGAGGAAACUCUGGUGGAGGCUCGCAGCGGUUCUGACGUGCAAAUCGAUCGUCAAAUUUGGGUAUAGGGGCGAAAG